rnacentral:rRNA from 1 species
UGGGGAAUAUUGGCACAAUGGGCGCAAGCCUGAUGCAGCCAUGCCGCGUGUGUGAAGAAGGCCUUCGGGUUGUAAAGCACUUUCAGCGAGGAGGAAGGUGGUGAACUUAAUACGUUCAUCAAUUGACGUUACUCGCAGAAGAAGCACCGGCUAACUCCGUGCCAGCAGCCGCGGUAAUACGGAGGGUGCAAGCGUUAAUCGGAAUUACUGGGCGUAAAGCGCACGCAGGCGGUUUGUUAAGUCAGAUGUGAAAUCCCCGGGCUCAACCUGGGAACUGCAUUUGAAACUGGCAAGCUAGAGUCUCGUAGAGGGGGGUAGAAUUCCAGGUGUAGCGGUGAAAUGCGUAGAGAUCUGGAGGAAUACCGGUGGCGAAGGCAGCCCCCCUGGGCCAAUAUGACGCUCAUGCACGAAAAGCGU